rnacentral:rRNA from 1 species
UGGUGGAGUGAUUUGUCUGGUUAAUUCCGAUAACGAACGAGACCUUAACCUGCUAAAUAGUCACACGAAUUUGUAUUCGUGGCCGACUUCUUAGAGGGACUAUUGACGUUUAGUCAAUGGAAGUUUGAGGCAAUAACA